UGAGAACUAUUUUCUCGACUUCAUUUCAGCGAUAUUAGGCAGUUCAUUUACCUCUUCGAGUUUUCUCUCCGUCAGAAACCUCUUCUUUCUCGGUUUCAUUCUUCUCGACUGAAAUCUCUUCCCUCUUCUCUGUUCUUGAUUUUUAUCAUCGUCAUCAAUUCCCUACACUAAAAUGAAUUGAUUGAAUUAAUUCCAGAUUGUUUCGCAGAAAUCUCACAACAACAAAUACCCCAGAAGUUCAAAUCAAACCCAAAAUUUUGAGAGAGUUUAAGAAAUAAGGUGAACUAAUUGAAUUAAGUUUACAGACAAUUUGGAAACUUACUUCUUCGAUUACAGAAAAGCUGGAAAUCUCAAUUGGGGUUAGGGCUUCCCGUUUCAGUUAGGGUUUCCCAAGCUUUUCUCUCCACUUCAAAGUGCUUCACGAUGCUCAUAGUCUUCUGCUAAAUUGUUUGUGAGCUUCAAUAUUUGUAAAAUUGUCAACCACCUCGUUUCAAUUGGACUGUUAAUCACUUCUUCAUGAGUGUUUGCACCAAUCAUAGCCCAACGACGAUUUUGACUCAACCUCCAGUAAUAUUGCAUCAGAUGUUACUUAUUUUUCAUUGCUUCUUCUUAAGGAAAUCAAAGACUUCUUUAGACAAUGGGUUGGAUAUUGGAAUUUCCAAGAAUUUGAGAUGAGUUGGUACUAUGAAAUUAUGAACAACACAAGUUUUUCAUCAAAGAUGUUCACAUUCUCCUACAAGGGAAUUACUAACAUUUGUGGAACCAAGAUCUGAUGUGUUCCAAGCUUCUGUCAGCAUAGUUAAUGUAGCUGACAAAACAUUGUUGGUGUUCUUGCCAUAUAUGACCCAGGCCACUACCAGAACUGGGUUUAUUUUUGCAGGUUUCUGGACAUUGAAUUAUAUUCAUGGUAUUGUUGGGUAUUUCCACCUUAUGGAGGAAAACUUAUAUUUAUUCUUUGUAUUUUGAUUUGUCUGCAGCUAUAUCAUGUAGAAGAAAUGCAUACAACUAUGUGUAGAUAGAUGGAUAUUUGAUUGGUAGAAAAUUAUUGAAUGCAAAGGUUAAUUUGUUUUUGAA